rnacentral:rRNA from 1 species
AGCAGCCGCGGUAAUUCCAGCUCCAAUAGCGUAUAUUAAAGUUGUUGCAGUUAAAAAGCUCGUAGUUGAAUUUCGGGAUUCGUCCAUUGGUCAGGCUUAACUGUCUGUACUGAUGUGUCGGAUUUCUACCUUCUGAAGAACCUUCAUGCCAUUAAUUUGGUGUGUUGGGGAAUCAGGACUGUUACUUUGAAAAAUUAGAGUGUUUAAAGCAGGCUAACGUCUGAAUACAUUAGCAUGGAAUAAUGAAAUAGGACGGUACGGUUCUAUUUUGUUGGUUUCUAGGAUCGCCGUAAUGAUUAAUAGGGAUAGUUGGGGGCAUUAGUAUUCAAUUGUCAGAGGUGAAAUUCUUGGAUUUAUUGAAGACUAACUACUGCGAAAGCAUUUGCCAAGGAUGUUUUCAUUAAUCAAGAACGAAAGUUAGGGGAUCGAAGACGAUCAGAUACCGUCGUA